ACAUAUCCACAUCCCAAAGCAACCCAUUCGAAUCGAGCUCUCAUAAUAGGCACGUGAAAAUAAAUUCCCAGCAAUUGCUUUUUAGAAUUUUCGGGCCGAGCACGAAGGGCGAUAACUGCUCUUACACGAAAGGGGUGUGUGUGUGCGUGCGUGUGUCUGGCUGUUUUUGGGGAUGGGACAGUGAAUGUGUGGGUGUGACUGAGCGGUGGGGCUUGUGAUUUAUGUGGGCUCUCCUGUUCUCGUUUGGCUGCUGUUGGCAACUCAAAACAUAUGCAUAGAUAAAUUAUACGCGGUAAGCGCCCACAAGCCCCAAAAUUGUUGACAACAACAGCAACAAAAACAACAAUGACAAUGACAACAACAACAAUAACUAGAACUGCAACAAUAACAACCACAAUAUGGAAGUGGAAGAGCAAAUAUUUUGAUGUGACGAAACUAAAUUGGGCGUGGCAAGGGUAUACAACAUUGACCAUAAUAUAUGUAACACAAAGAGAUGAAUCAUUGCUGAUCUACAUAUAUAUUAUAUGUUUAUUGAAUAUAUAAUUAUUCUUAUGAAAAUCAUA